GGAGUCGGCCAGGCAGUCGCGUCAUCACGUCGCAAGGCGGGGUGCCGAGGAAAGUCCGGGCUCCACAGGGCACGGUGCCAGGUAACGCCUGGGCGGCGCGAGUCGACGGAAAGUGCAACAGAAAGAUACCGCCUAUGUCGGAGCAAUCUGGCAGGCAAGGGUGAAAUGGUGCGGUAAGAGCGCACCGCGAGCCUGGCAACAGGCCGGCAUGGCA
rnacentral:RNase_P_RNA from 1 species